rnacentral:tRNA from 1 species
GUGAGGUUGGCCGAGCGGUCUAAGGCACCCGAUUUAAGCUCGGCCUCCCCUUGGAAAACGUGGAUUCGAAUCCCACAUCUCACA